rnacentral:rRNA from 1 species
GAUGAACGCUAGCGGCGGGCCUAAUACAUGCAAGUCGAACGGAUAUAUUGAUUUCGGUUGAUAUAUUAGUGGCGCACGGGUGAGUAACGCGUACACAACGUGCCUAUUACUGGGGAAUAGCCUUGGGAAACUGAGCGUAAUACCCCAUGGUAUUAUAAAGUGGCAUCACUUAAUAAUUAAAGCUACGGCGGUAAUAGAUCGGUGUGCGUCUGAUUAGCUAGUUGGUGAGGUAACGGCUCACCAAGGCGACGAUCAGUAGGGGGCGUGAGAGCGUGAUCCCCCACACGGGUACUGAGACACGGACCCGACUCCUACGGGAGGCAGCAGUAAGGAAUAUUGGUCAAUGGAGGGAACUCUGAACCAGCCACGCCGCGUGGAGGAUGAAGGCCCUAUGGGUUGUAAACUUCUUUAGUCUGGGGCGAAAAAGGGUCAUUUAUGAUCAACUGACGGUACCAGAAGGAUAAGCACCGGCUAACUCCGUGCCAGCAGCCGCCGUAAUAC